CGGUUUUAGUUAUGAGUCUUACAAUAUCAGUCGUUACACUUGGACGAAAGGAAAUCAAAACUUUUGCGAUGUAAUGUAAAUAAGAAAACCCGGGAUAUAGCUGUUGUAAUUUUCAUCUCAAUUUCUUCUUUGGAAUGGCGUUGAAUUCAAUGUGUUAUCGGUGCUAAUGAUACUAUUCAAAACAAACACGACUAUAAAAUAAAGAAAACAUGUGAAAUAGUCCUACACAAUCAGUCCUUACACUUAGAAGAAAGGAAAUGAAAACUUUAAUGAUAUAAUGACAGUGUCAUUGUAUGUUUUCAUUGAGAAGGAAUGUGAUUGCCAUUAAUGAAAUUUUUAGAAACACUAUUAUACAAUACAUUUUAUAAUUAUACUGUAAAAACACAUAUUUUUAUUCAUUUUAUUGUUCGACAAUGAUUCAAUUGUAUCUUUAAAUUAUAUUAGGUAAUUGUAAAUUUG